AGUCCAAUUACCCAAUAAAAUUGAAUCAAAUGCCCAAAUAACUCCCAUUUCUCCCAAAUCGUGGAAUGGUGGAAGGCUGGAAGAAAACCCUUUUCCAAUUUCUUCAAUUCUUCCUUCGCCGCUCGCCCCUGCCUACACGACGCUGCACACAAGUGACGAGACACGACAGUGUCGGAGAUCGCCGAUUUCGCCCCUGCCCUGCAGGCUGUAGUGUGAGACACUUCUUCCUUUGCCACCGUCGGUGCUAACUGCUCAACACCAUGUUUAAUAGAUUAAGGGUAUCAAUUUGGCAUGAAAUUGGAGCAGAAUCGCAUAAUUCUUUGUCCACUUGGCGAGCAAGUUCUCUGGUUCACUGGUUGGAGACUUGGAGCCAAUAUUAAUGCCAAAGGAUUCCUUCCUCAGGUCAAUGACUUAAAUUGAUCAGUUGAUGUUAAAUAUGUUGUGAUUUAUUCAUUUGGGAAUUAAAAAAUUGCGAAUUGUGAUUCAUGAAUUAUGAUAAGUAAUUUACGUUUUAUGAGUUAUGAUUGUUGAUUUGGAAAUUUAUGUUUACGAAAUUAUAUUUGCAUUCGUGAUUUAUGAUAAGUAAUUUAUGUUUUGAUAA